rnacentral:rRNA from 1 species
UACGUAGGGGGCAAGCGUUAUCCGGAAUUACUGGGUGUAAAGGGAGCGUAGACGGUUAAGUAAGUCUGGAGUGAAAGGCCGGGGCCCAACCCCGGGACUGCUCUGGAAACUAUUGAACUUGAGUGCAGGAGAGGUAAGCGGAAUUCCUAGUGUAGCGGUGAAAUGCGUAGAUAUCAGGAGGAAUACCGUUAGCGAAGGCGGCAAUCUGGCUGGAAACUGACGCUGAGGUGCGAAAGCGUGGGUAGCAAACAGG